UUAAUUUCUCCUCCGUCAAGGUUAGCUUGAAAUGCGCCACCUACAAAUCGCCGUGGUGCUCUGCACGCCUAAUACAGCGCGCGUCGCUCUGUGGUACACACUCUGACGCUGUCGACCUGCAUUUGAUUUUCCAUUCAUUCACUCAUCCAUCCAUUCAAGAAAUGUGUUGCUCGUCGUUUCUAUUCCAGACAGGCGAGGCAUGGAGUAUAAAGCCGAGAACAAGAGAGAUUACAUGCUUGUUCCCAUGGAGUAAACAUGUUCUGGAUGAGGAUUAUUUAAAACAAAACAACAACAGCAUCUCACGAUGCUUGAGAGCAGCAGUAACUCGAGUGCACAGAGACACACAAGGUGCUGGUUCUAGAAUGGGAAGCAGGAUGCUGUGUUUGGGGUGAGUCCGAAGAGGUGGCCUGAAAGAGCGUGAACUUCCUCACAUUUCAUUUCCUCCAGAAACUGAGGACCCAUCAGCCCUUCUUCACUUGCCUAAAGAACCCUUCGGGACAGCACUCGGUCCCCUGCCUUCCUGUUCUUGGAGGGUCCUAGCUGGGUCCGCUGAUAUGGAUCAGGUUUGACAAGACAGAUUCACGUGCUAAGAGUUCCUCAGUCCACCAGUGUCGUCACCCAAGUUUGUUUAUUGGUGGUCCGUAUCGAUGCAACGGCCCGGAGG